AAUCGGAAGUGAGUCCGGUCCAGGUUUCCAAGUGCACCCCUCUGGUUUCUAAGUGGGACCCGAUCCAACCCCAGGCUGGUUCCGUUUCUAAAUGGAAUCCAGUCCGCUUUUUAAGUCCGACCCAGUCCCAGAGAGCCUCUGCAGACGCAGGCCUGAAAAAGAAGUGCUCCAACACCGAAAUCUAGCAAAAGCUGCGUGGCAGGGCCUGCCUGACAUGGGCUCAACCACCGCCAGCAGAGGCCUCCAGAAACAGCAGGCUCAAAAGAUGAUAAAAUGCCUACGUAAUGAGAUGGAGUGAGUUGAAGGACCUGGUGGAUGUUUGGCUAUUGGCCUUCUAAGGAGUGUACAUCAGAAGGAGGAUUGUCUGUUCCCAGACUGCGGCUGACAAGCUUUUUCUUCAAACAAAAUCUUAUCCAGAAUGCUUUUCCCACUGUCAUCAUUCAGGCCUCAGCUCAAAUAUCACCUCUGAGAGGCCACCCUUAACACAGGAUCUAAAGGAGUUCCACUGCUCCCUUCCCCCAAGUCACUGUCACAUACCAUGUUUUAUUGUGUUCACGUCACUUACAGCCCAAAACUGACUUGUCUAUUUGUUUACUUGUCUUACCUCCUG